rnacentral:misc_RNA from 1 species
UGAUUUUCUCAAAGAACAAGCUCCCCU